rnacentral:rRNA from 1 species
CCUACGAGUGGCAGCAGUCGAGAAUCAUUCACAAUGGGGAAACCCUGAUGGUGCGACGCCGCGUGGGGGAAUGCAGGUCUUCGGAUUGUAAACCCCUGUCAUGUGGGAGCAAAUUAACAAGAUAGUACCACAAGAGGAAGAGACGGCUAACUCUCUGCCAGCAGCCGCGGUCAUACAGAGGUCUUAAGCGGUGUUCGGCAUCACUGGGCGUAAAGCGUGCGGAGGCUGUUUAGUAAGUCGUGUGUGAAAGGCGUGGGGUCAACCCGCGGACGGCACAUGAUCCUGCGAGACUAGAGGAAUGGAGGGGGAACCGGAAUUCUCGGGGGAGCAGUGAAAU